UAACAUGCGUGUUGGCGUGUUUUAGUGUCUGCUGGUGGGUUUCCUGCUCUGUGGUGUUGAGCUGCAGGUUUCUGUGCAGCAUUUUAAUGAACUAUGCAGUAGAACUAAACUAAGUGUUUUUAGAGAGAGGAAUGAACAUUGUUGGUAUUUAGCUGCUUGUUGUUGAGCUGUACUUCCUGCUGUAUGUCUAUUAUUACUCAAUGUUCAGGGUUAAUGCUGAGCAACACGUAUUGAGUAACACGGAGCUUCCAGCACUGUGAAGGAAGCAGAAGUCCGUCUGGUUGGAGACGUUCCAACCCGACUAGAGUCGGCUGGGUUCAACAGAACAUCCAGACCUGAUGGGGUUAGGUAGAGCAACUUAAUGCUCAGACAAAUUCAACAUAGAAAUGAUCAAAGAAAAACAGGACUGGUGGAUGCUGCCACACCAAAGGAUAAAUACAGCUAGUGGGACAGGAUUAAAAACAUUAACUAAUUAGAGGCUUUGGGAUUAAUUAAUCAUUUUUUUGGUCAAAUAUCUAUAGUUGACACAAUAAGUAAAGUUUUUCACUUCUAUUAAAUGUUUGGGACUGAAUGAUGAAUAUUCAUAUAUGUGAACUAUAACAACUAAAUAUUUGUUUCAUUUCUAUUUAUCUACAUUUUUCAUCAGAUUACUGCAAGCUCAAAGUGACAUUAUAGUUAUUAUAUUCAAUGUUUGAAGACUUUUUGUAAAAUUAAUGAUCAGAGUUCUACCUUCAUACUGGGAAUAUUUCCAGAGUUCCAGGUCCUUGAAGUCCAUAGAGGAGAAUGUCCCCUGGAGAAAGUUCUAGAGUAGACCUACUGACAACUUUCCAGUUGUCGGUAGGUCUACUCUAGAACUUUCUCCAGUUGUAGGUAGGUCUACUCUAGAACUUUCUCCAGUUGUCGGUAGGUCUACUCUAGAACUUUCUCCAGGUGUCGGUAGGUCUACUCUAGAACUUACUCCAGUUGGUGGUAGGUCUACUCUAGAACUUUCUCUAGUUGGUGGUAGGUCUACUCUAGAACUUUCUCCAGGGGACCUUCUCCUUUCCUGCUUCCAGUCUUUAAGUUUAGUCUCUCUUAGAACAUUCCAGGUCCUUGAAAUCCAUAGAGGUGCAUCCAGAUUUAUCACUGGGGGACAGAAAUUAGAGAACUAAGAAAGGUGCGAUUAAAGGCAUUAUUUUUUUCUGUAAUUAAUUAAUCGUAAUUAACGAGUUAAAGUCCCAGCCCAAAAUAAAACCAAACUAAGGCUAACAGAGUUUUUAAACUCGCUAAACAAAAAUAAAAUGGCUGAACUCCUGAUCCAAAGCACAGAAGCAACACUGACCACUAACAACAGAAUCUGAGACCACUGGGUCAAAUCACAUCACUAAAUAAUCUGAUGCCUCAACACACACAUUUCUAAACAACACGCCAAGACUCAGCUCUGUUCCCUUUAGCCACCCCUCAGUGGAACCCUCAGAACACAACAUCUCAGGAGGCACCAGGGGGUACUGGUCCAUUAAAUCCAGCCCCCAGACUGGGAGUUUGGUUGCAGAUUUAUACCAGGUGAUGCUGGGUGUGGUGGGAGGAGGAGCUGUAGUGGUAGACCAAUCCAACGGGUCUGGAGGUGUGGAGAACCAGGGCUGAGAGCAGGUCCAGGACAAUCACUCCUGGUGUCCAGGUGGGAUCUGGAGUUCGAUCUUCAUCCAGCUGUGAUCAAUAGUCUCCACCAGCCGUCCCAGCAGAGAGGCUCUACAGCAGGGGAGUCAAACUCAUCGUAGUCCAGGACCACAUCCAGUCCAGUCUGAUCUCCAGUGGACCGGACUGGACCAGUAAAACCACAGCAGAAAAAACGAUAAAUAACCACAGUUCCUAGUUUUCCAAGAUACACCAGUAUCUAUAUAGUAUAUAGGCCAGUAUAUAGUAUUUCACUUUAUGAGCUAACGACAAAGUUAGACAAAAAAGACAAAAUGACAAAAAUAAGACAAAAUAUGAUAAACGCAAGAACCAAAAUGACAAAAAAGUAGACUACCAACACAAGCGAGACAAAACAACACAAAACGUCAAAAACGAUGCUCACAACGAAUAAAGCUAAACACAAAAAUAAGUCAGAAACCACAAACGAGACAAAAAGGAAACACAAAAUGACAAAAACAGGAGACAAACAACAAGUCAGACAAAAAAGACAAAAAACAACAAGACCAAGACAAAGUAUUACAAAAAUGAGACACAAAACAACAAAAAACAGACAACGCAACCAAGACAAAACACAAAACGGCAAAAACGAUGCUCAUAACAAUGAAUAAAGGAAAACACAAAAUUACAAAAAUAAGACAAGAAAUGCAAAACGACAGAAAUGAGAAUAAAACGACAACAACAUGAGGCGAAAGUCAGACAAAGACAAAAAUCAAUAAAAAACAGGCAAAAUAUUACAAAAGUGAGACACAAAACAACAGAAGAACAGUGAACAAUCUAGUAUUUCACUUUAUGAUCCAAACAAUUUGUCAUGGUCUAGAAAUGAUUUUAAAUUUAUAGUUUUACUAAUUUACAAUCUGCAGUUAAUGUCUUCUCUGGAAUUUUUACACUUUAACCCCUUUUUCGAUAGGGCUGGUUCAGGUUCGAAGUUGGAGCCAGUGCCCGACUUGGCACCGGUUUUUUGUGUUUCCAUCAGCUGAGCUCCGGCUCCAGGCUCCAAAAACCGGGGCUUUUUCAGGCACCAACUCAUUGCUGGGCCAGAGUUGAGAACCGAGCACGUCACGGGCAGGGGACGGGGUUACGGUGAUCAACAGUGAAAACACAGAAGCGCCAUUUUUAGACAGCCCAGCGAGUAGUAGUAGUAAUGUUUAGUGUUUGUGUUUUGAAAACCGGUAAAUAUAGAUGCCAAAUCCAAGCAGCAGCAGUCUGAGGAAGAGACCCAAUGCUUCUUAGCACUGUGGUCUUCAUAUGAAAUUCAGUCGAAGUUAGAGGGAGCCUCUUGGACCACGGCGGUGUUCGAAACGAUCCAGCGGGAGAUGGCUGCAGCCGGUACGAGAGGAGCCUUGACUAACUCCUCAACAAAAUUAAAAAGCUUAAAAAUUACUACAGGGACCAGAAAGGGGAGCUGGGAUGCAGCAGUUGUCGGCCGAAAAGAGCCCCCAUUUUGACCGGCUGCAUUCUGUGAUUCCAACCGGGUCCCUGAACGCCACAGCUGUGCUGGAGUUGAUGCAGGCCGCCGUACAGAUCACCAAUCCUGAUUCUGUUGUCAGCCGUGGAUAAUGAGGUCCAGUUACCAGGACUGUUACUCUGCAGCUCACCCGUCCCAUCACACAGCUCAUCCAUGCCAUCCUCCUCUUAACAGACCAAAUCAAGAAAAAGGAAGCGGGAUCUGCUGCAGUAUCUGGAGAGGUCAGAGGAACGGUUCUUGGAACAGAUCAGAAGACACCAAGACCUGACCUCUGCCAUGCUCCAGAACAUCCAGGAUGGAAAUUCAGACACCUUGGUUGGACUGAUGGGACGGAUGGUGUCGGUGCUGGAGUGACUGUCCCAGAAAUAAACUGCAUUAUCCACUACUUCUGCCUUUUCUAGAAAAAAAAAUCCUUUUUUGUAAAAUAUUUUCCUUCUUAGCUAUUUAAAUUCACUUGUAUUUUAUUCAUGCACUUUGGGUGAAUAAAAAUAUAUUUGUGAUGAAAGAUGCGUUUUGUCUAUAAUCUACAGAGACUUUAUUCAGUGUUCAUUGCACACUUCUGUUCCACACAUUUUGACAGAUAAUCAGUUGUCCUUAUUAACCAGAUUCUUAGUCUUAAACAUAUCGACAACUUAUGCUGUUUUUUUUUUUUUUUUUUACUGUCACACCAAGCUAGAUGGAUAAACUGCACUACUGCAGCAGAUAUAUUAUUGAAGUGUGCUUACAUGACGUGUCUACAUACACUGCUCACAGUUAUUCAACUUUCAGGUGAAAUUUAUGGAAAAGUAAGAAGUUUAUAAUACUAUAUCAUGAAAGUAGGGCAUUUAAGUAGAAGCAUGCAAUAGUGAUUUCCUCAUCUCAAACAAUUUAUUGAAACAAAAGCUAACAACAGUGGUGGGUAUAUCACAAUAAAAAUAUCAAUGUCUCAAGACCGUUUGGACAGAACAGCAGCCUUCAGCUGAAAUCCGGUACAAUUGUGUUCCACCAGUGGCGUGAUCAUGGAUGUGCCCAGACAACAGCUGACCUCUGCCUUCCAAUUAGCCUUAAAACCAUCGAUAAAGAUAAACAUAGAUACUAUCAUCAACUUAUUGUGUUUGUUUAACCGCUAUGUAAUGGAUGCAAACGUAGUCCAGCCUAAGUAGCUAAGCUAACACACCACUGUUAAGAAUCAAAACAUCUCUGACAGUUACCUGUCUUCUCAAACGUACUCGCUGUUGCCCGUGACUAUGAUGAAGACAGGUAGCUACUAAAACUUAGAUUAUUUGUUUCUGGAUCGCGGUGUAGGCUUGCAAAGUCAGGAACAGCACUUGUAUGUUUACGGUGCACCACCGUCGCGGAACGGCUAUGCAUGCAGUGACAUACUGCCGUUUUACGGUGACGCAAUGACGCGGCUCCAACUUGGUUCCUUGCCAAUUGAAAAGCAAACCGACUCUGGGGGGGCACGAGAUUUGAACCAAAACAGCACCGACACUUACCUUGAACCAAGCUAGCACCCUGGUGUGGAAAUGAGGGUUUGGAGGGCCGGUUUUGGCCCGCGGGCCGCAUGUUGGACACCCCUGAAGAGGAGGGUCAGACUUUAAACAGUCCAGGAUGGUUCAGAUUGUUGAAGCUCAGCAUGCAGAGAUGUUUCUCCAGUCUGCUGGUAGAAGCAGCCAGAUGUCCUCUCAGUGUCUCUGUCUCUG